ensembl:lincRNA
GCGCCAGCCUGGGCUCCCCGCCCGCUGGUGCUGCCCGGAGCGGGCGACGCGCCCUGGGCCAUUCGGGAUUUGGGGCGACGACCCAGACCUCCCCACACGCGUUCAGGCCCCUCCUCUCUCCUCCGUGUGGCCGCGAGCCCUGGGAGCGCCAGGCUAUCCUCACGCCCCCACAGGGGGAGCGAAGGCCCGAGCUCGGUGCUGGUUCAGUUCUUCACUGGUCCCUGCGUCUUAUUAAGCUCCUAUUGCAUGCAGCUUUGGGGGCACUGCAGGAGACUGAGGGAAGGAGGGAUCAGUUCCCCGCCCCUCCUGCCAGGUGGGGUCAGGGUUAGGUGGCAACGGCAGGGGCAGGGUGCUGCCCUAACCCUGACCCAAUUUGGGGUUCUGUCCUGAGCCAUGAGUACACAGCUGGCGCCUAACAGCGGCCAGGGUGUGGGUCAGGGAAGACACACUCUCCAGGCUCCCGGGCCUUCCGCCAACCCCACGGAGGGCCCGUAACCUCGACAGCAUGAAGCCAGGUUCCUUCAGGUGCAUCUGGUGACACUGAUGUUUAUUAAGCACCUACUGCAUACCAGUCUUGGGGGCUGAGGCUAAAACCUCACUGGGCAGGCUCUCCAAAGGCAUUGCUUGGAUGAGAGCAAAAGUCUGGGCUUGAAUCCUGGCUUUGCUUCUUGGCUGUGUGUGCUUGGGAGGCUCACUGCCCUCUCUGGGCCUUUGGGCUCCUGGGAGACUCCAGUGGAGGCUGGUGUGAGAAGCACCCAGAAGCCCCAGGAUGGGAUCAUUGACUUUCCAAGCCCAGGAUUGGAUGGCCAGGCUGGUGAAUGUCCCAUCCUCUAUGUGACCCCCCGCCCCCAGGGCUACAGAACAGGGCUCGGUGGGCGGGAGGGUGCAGCAAGGGCUGCCCUGAUCAGUUGAACAGUCCUGGCUGGGAGGUGACACGCUUCUUCCUGAAACAUGUUUGAUGCAUCCUUCCUAUGAACUCCUAUGCAUCCUUCAUGGCCCAGCCUGGAUGCCCCCUUCUCCCUCAACCCUUCCUGGUUGCCAGGUGGAGCCUCUCCCCUUCCUGCAGUGACUCCCUUGGUCCUGGAGGAGGCAGGGAAGGGUCCCACUGUGCAGAAAGGGCUCAGAGCAGGAAUUGCUUUCCUGUGCGGUCUCCGGCUGGCAAGAGGCAGGGCCAAGCCUCGAACCCCAUCCAGCCGACAGCAGGACGGGCGGACCAAGGCUGACCUUCUCCCCUCCCGCAGGGUCCUGGCAGCAGAGACCACGUCCCAGCAGGAGCGGCUCCAGGCCAUAGCAGAGAAGCGGAAGCGGCAGGCGGAGAUCGAGAACAAGCGCCGGCAGCUGGAGGACGACCGGAGGCAGCUGCAGCACCUGAAGGUGGGGUGGCCGGAGGGCGGCGGUGGCAGGCGCGGGUGGUGGGGUGGCCCCAGCCCUGGCCCUGACCUGGACCCCUGCCGCCCAGUCCAAGGCGUUGCGGGAGCGCUGGCUGCUGGAGGGGACGCCGUCCUCGGCCUCGGAGGGCGACGAGGACCUGAGGAGGCAGAUGCAGGAGGACCAGCAGAAGGCGCAGCUCCUGGAGGGCUCCAUCUCCAGGUGGGCGGGCAGAGCGCGGCCGGACCCCGACCCUGACCCGGACCCUGACCCUAAAACCCUGACCCUAAAACCCUGACCCUGGCCCUAAAACCCUGACCCGGACCCUGACCCUAAAACCCUGACCCUAAAACCCUGACCCUGGCCCUAAAACCCUGACCCCGACCCUGGCCCUAAAACCCUGACCCGGACCCUGGCCCUAAAACCCUGGCCCCGACCCUGGCCCUAAAACCCUGACCCUGACCCGGACCCUGACCCUGACCCUAAAACCCUGGCCCUGACCCUGGCCCUAAAACCCUGGCCCUGACCCUGGCCCUAAAACCCUGGCCCUGACCCUGACCCUGACCCAGAGGCGGCGGGCAGCCUGUUGGAGCCAAGCACUAAGAAUCGCUGCCCAGCACCCCAUCUGAGCAGAUGUGUGAGGGACGUGGGCUCGGGGCGGCUCCAGGGUCCCCGAGGACAGGACGGAGUUGCCGGCACCGGCCUCCCCCGGGGCUUCCUGGCGCCAGCCCAGCUGGCUGGGCUGUGGCUGCCCGCUCUGCUCGGCGGCAGCUGGGCCCGCAGGAAGCGGGAGGGGCAGGAUGGGGAACGCGGUCAUCCCUGGGCCGGCGGGACACAGGCCUGGAGUUUCCGGCACGCGGGAGUCCCAGCUCCACUCGGGGCGCAGGUCAGGGCGAGGGAAGUGACGACCAGAAUCCCAAGCGCCUGCUCUGGCCGCGGAAGAGGCCCCCGGGCGGAG